ensembl:lncRNA
GAGGAGAGAUGGACAGCCUGCCCAACCAAUCGAAAUGCACAGGUCCCAGUAUGUUUUGACCAAUGGGAGAGCAGUCUGCCGCUGUAUGUCCCACCUACGUGCUCUGUGUUUGCUGCUAUGUGUGGAGGUAGUCGCGUGCUGGCAGGAGAAAAGAGAGACUGAAGCUUUUGAGCUGGAAAAAAGUAUUAGAUAUAAGUUGCAACCAACUGUGUUGCACAUAAGUUCACUGGUUAUCAGCUAACUUUCAUGUUAGAAGUAGCCGCAGUGAGUAAACAGGCAAAUGCUGCAUUUUUCUGGUGACUUUAGAAAGUACCACGUGGAGGUAAACUGUUAGCCUUUGUUAGCUCUGGUUGCUAUCAACUGCCUGGAAGUUCAUCUCAAUCUGCUUCCAGAAGCAAGAGCCCUGCAUUUUCCGACCGAGAGACACUAUGCCAUUGUCUUCGGCCGUGAUGCGCUGAGAUCGGUCAGGUUUUUUUUUGUAUGCUGAAUUGUUCCUGAGGUGGAUUCCUCCAGUGAAAUAGGAUUCCUCCAGUGAAAUAGAUGGCGAGCCUUCCCACCUGGACUUAGAGAGACUGAGAUUCGCUUCUUUUCCACUUGAUGAUCUGCUGCACCUUGCGGUGUGGUAGGACUGUAUCACUCACACUUUCACGCACAGCUGGUUAUACAUAAGACCACUGACUGACAUUCUUUCAUCCCUAUUUUCUUUCACACCCUGGGAAUUUUUUGGACUUUACCCCUUGGACAUUUUUUAUUUGGGACUUUAAAUAAUGAGCUGUUGUGUAGAGCAUUCUCCACAUGUGAAAAGAGUGUGAAAUUUUCAUUUGAAUGUACAUUGGAUUUGUGUAAUCUGUUUCUAUAAGAGUUAAGGAGUCAGGUUACUAGGGUGCACCCGAGCAUUGAAACCCAAACAUUGAAAACCAAAAAUAACACUUGGCCAAGUCAUUGCUUUAGUAGUUUGUGUUUUACUUUUCUUUUAAUUUUUGUAAGUUUCCUUUCUACCAUUGUAAAGUGUCUUUAACCUGUGCUUGUCAACCUUAUGGUUUAUGUCACUAAAGUUGGCUGGUUCUUUUGAGUUACAUUCUUGUCUCUGUGUCUCAUUUGAACACACCCCUGUGCUCCUAUAGUCGAGUCUAUUGGCCCAUUGAUAUAUUCUUUUCAACAAUUCCCCUUACUGUGUUACAUACACAUCUACUAUAGCCACAAUAAAAACAAGUAAUAAUUGCACUGAAAAUUAUAUCUAGUAUAUUAAAAUGGGUUUCAAUGGGGCAAAUAACAAAAACCUGCACUUUUCACUUGUUUCUACUGCACUGCAAACUUCUUGAAGUUUAAAAAGAGCACAAGAAACAAAAUGAAUAUAUACAAAAUGCUUACUAUUGGUGGAGCUCUCAGAAUGCUUUUUGUUACACAUGAAACAGUUGCCCAUUUUUAAUGUCCUCUCAUUUAGCAACACCUAUGCAGUACCUCAAGAGGGCACUGCUGAGCAACUUCUGAAUCAGCUGUUUAUGAGUGUACAGGCAUGUAUGUAGUAAGAAUAGAUUCAAUAUUCCUUAUUUACUACUGUUGUUGUUCUGUUUUGUUGAGAUAAGAUAAGAUAAGAUAAGAUACCUUUAUUAGUCCCACGAGUGGGAAAUUUCAUAAACCACUCUGCACAAAUCUGAACAGGAC